rnacentral:rRNA from 1 species
GAUGAACGCUGGCGGCGUGCCUAAUACAUGCAAGUCGAGCGAACGGACGAGAAGCUUGCUUCUCUGAUGUUAGCGGCGGACGGGUGAGUAACACGUGGAUAACCUACCUAUAAGACUGGGAUAACUUCGGGAAACCGGAGCUAAUACCGGAUGAUAUUUUGAACCGCAUGGUUCAAAAGUGAAAGACGGUCUUGCUGUCACUUAUAGAUGGAUCCGCGCUGCAUUAGCUAGUUGGUAAGGUAACGGCUUACCAAGGCAACGAUGCAUAGCCGACCUGAGAGGGUGAUCGGCCACCCUAGAAGUGAGCCACGGUCCAGAGGCCUACGGGAGGCAGCAGUAGGGAAUCUUACGCAAUGGGCGAAAGCCUGACGGAGCAACGCCGCGUGAGUUAUGAAAGUCUUGGGAUCGUAAAACUCUGUUAUUAGGGAAGAACAUAUGUGUAAGUAACUGUGCACAUCGUGACGGUACCUAAUCAGAAAGCCACGGCUAACUACGUG